rnacentral:rRNA from 1 species
UACGUAGGGGGCUAGCGUUGUCCGGAUUUAUUGGGCGUAAAGAGCGUGUAGGCGGCCAGGUAGGUCCGUUGUGAAAACUCGAGGCUCAACCUCGAGACGUCGGCGGAAACCCUCUGGCUAGAGUCCGGAAGAGGAGAGUGGAAUUCCUGGUGGUAGCGGUGAAAUGCGCAGAUAUCAGGAAGAACACCCGUGGCGAAGGCGGCUCUCUGGGACGGUACUGACGCUGAGACGCGAAAGCGUGGGGAGCAAACAGG